UACGAAGGGGGCUAGCGUUGCUCGGAAUCACUGGGCGUAAAGCGCACGUAGGCGGAUUGUUAAGUCAGGGGUGAAAUCCUGGAGCUCAACUCCAGAACUGCCUUUGAUACUGGCGAUCUCGAGUCCGGGAGAGGUGAGUGGAACUGCGAGUGUAGAGGUGAAAUUCGUAGAUAUUAGGAAGAACACCAGUGGCGAAGGCGGCUCACUGGCCCGGUACUGACGCUGAGGUGCGAAAGCGUGGGGAGCAAACAGG
rnacentral:rRNA from 1 species